GACGAACGCUGGCGGCGCGCUUAACACAUGCAAGUCGAACGGAAAGGCCUGCUUUCCCUUGUGGAUUGCGGGUACUCGAGUGGCGAACGGGUGAGUAACACAUGAGUGAUCUGCCCCCAACUUGGGUAUAAGCCUGGGAAACUGGGUCUAAUUCCCGAUAGGACUGCAGGGUGGUGCCUGUGGUGGAAAACGAUUUUCUAGUGGUUGGGGAUGAGCUCGCGGCCUAUCAGCUUGUUGGUGGGGUAAUGGCCUACCAAGGCGGCGACGGGUAGCCGGCCUGGGAGGGUGGACGGCCACAUUGGGACUGAGAUACGGCCCAGACUCCUACGGGAGGCAGCAGUGGGGAAUAUUACACAAUGGGCGGAAGCCUGAUGCAGCGACGCCGCGUGGGGGAUGACGGCCUUCGGGUUGUAAACUCCUUUCGACCGCGAGGAAGCCACCUGGUUGGAAGGGUGGUGACGGUAGUGGUAGAAGAAGCACCGGCUAACUACGUG
rnacentral:rRNA from 1 species